AUAUGCUUGUUAUUGCAUACUUUAGUAUUGAUUGUUUUACAAUCUGUCACAUUCUAAACUGAAAUAAAAUGCAAUGAAAAUCUCUAUAAUUUUAUAGAAUAGUCCACAAACUCAGUGUAUGUUGAAUUUUCAAAGUUCUUUCAGCAGCUAUCAGCUAAAAUGAGCUAGGAGCCAGUGGAUUACUUCUUGGAUAACCUCUAAGGAAAAAAGAAUGCUGUUCGGCACUCGAAGGAAAUGAACUAUCAAGCCAUGAAAAGGCAUAGAGGAAACUUAAAUGCAUACUACUAAGUGAAAGAAACCAACCUGAGAAGUCUGAAAACAGUAUGAUUUCAACUAUAUGAAUUUUGGAGAAGGCAAACUAUGGAGGCAGUAAAAAGAUCAGCAGCUGCCAGGGCAUUCCUCUAGGCUCUGCGAUAUGGAGACGGGCCCCUUGAACACUGCUCUGUGACCAGCAGCACCAGGUUAAGCUCCGUCAGUGCAGGGAGCUGGAGACCCGCUGGAGGAGAGAGGGUUUUCGCCUCCAGGGUCCAGGACACCACUCUGGCCAGGCCUUCGCAGUACCUGCUUCUCUAGCACCUUGCUCCCGCCAGGGAGCGGCUUCUUUAGCAUCCGAGGCCCACAGCGCACAGAAGCGCCUCGGACCCGGCACCGCGCCGAGCAGCUUCCCGCUUGCUGCCACCCGCGAGGCACCUCCCCAUGAGUAGCUGUCCCUAACACCGCCUCGUGUGCCGCAAGUCCCCAGAGACAGCACCAUCCUGGCCUCCACCAGCACCCCAGAGGGAGAACGGCCGGGAGGGUUGCUUUUGAGUCGCCGACUUCACCCUCCACUGAGCAAGGCCCGCACUCCCCAAGGCCCGGGUCUCAGACGCAGGAAGAGGGCAGCCUCUGGGGGCGCUCCAGCUCAGCCCUGGGGGUAGUAGGUACCUACUAAAUCUGCUCUUCCUGUAUUCAUUAAAGUUGUCUUUACUUCUGGCUAA